rnacentral:lncRNA from 1 species
UGGGAGAGAAAGUGGGGGACGAAGAGUAAGCGGAGUGAUUCAGGGUUUUUCGGAGUGGAUUUGGAGGAUUUGGGAGGGUCUAGGCCGCGGGUUAGGCCGAAUACUGGCUCAAUCUGGUUCAAAAUUCCGGACCUUGAGAGGGCGACCGACAAUUUUUCGCAGAAGAAUUUCAUUGGGCGAGGGGGGUGUGGUCUUGUUUACAAGGGGACUUUAGCAGAUGGGAGCAAUGUUGCAGUCAAGAAGAUUAUAGAGUCCGAUAUUCAGGUUGAUGCAGACUUUUGUAAUGAGAUUGAGAUCAUUAGCAAUUUGAAGCAUNNNNNNNNNNNNNNNNNNNNNNNNNNNNNNNNNNNNNNNNNNNNNNNNNNNNNNNNNNNNNNNNNNNNNNNNNNNNNNNNNNNNNNNNNNNNNNNNNNNNUGUUGUGUGGUUGAUGGAGAUGAGAGUUAUGAUGACAGGGCAAGCCAGAGGUACCUUGUUUAUGAUUACAUGCCAAAUGGGAAUCUUGAUGACCAUUUGUUUUCGAAAUGGGAGAAUGGGAAUGGGAAUGGAAUGGGAAAGAAGCCAUUGACAUGGCCUCAGAGGAAGAGCAUAAUCUUGGAUGUGGCAAAGGGGCUUGCUUAUCUUCACUAUGGAGUGAAACCCGCGAUAUAUCAUCGAGAUAUUAAGGCCACAAACAUACUGUUGGAUGCAGAUAUGAGAGCAAGAGUGGCUGAUUUUGGGCUAGCAAAACAGAGCAGGGAAGGGCAGUCUCAUCUCACUACUAGAGUGGCCGGUACUCAUGGGUACCUAGCCCCAGAGUAUGCGCUUUAUGGACAGCUGACUGAGAAGAGCGAUGUUUAUAGCUUUGGGGUGGUUGUUUUGGAGAUAAUGUGUGGGAGAAAAGCUCUUGAUUUGUCAUCACGAUCGCCGGGGGCAUUUUUGAUAACUGAUUGGGCUUGGUCAAUGGUGAAAGCUGGGAAAAUAGAAGAGGCUUUAGAUGCUUCUUUGUUGAAAGAUGAGGAUUCAUCAAAUUCGAACCCAAAGGUGAUAAUGGAGAGAUUUUUGCUGGUUGGGAUUUUGUGUGCUCAUGUUAUGGUGGCUCUCAGGCCUACCAUUUCAGAUGCACUGAAAAUGCUUGAAGGCGAUGUUGAGGUUCCUGCCAUUCCCGAUAGGCCAGUGCCUCUUGGGCACCCUUCGUUUUUCACUGAUGGGAAUACGUUUUCCAUAUCACCAGCAUUGAGCGGACCUCAAUUACACUCAGGAGACAUGCUCAGGUAAUCAAGAAUGUUUAUAAUGUAUAGUCUCUUCACCCAAAAGGCUACAUGGAUUGAACUCCCUCAGUUGAUUCAUGGAACGUUGUUGAGAAGAUGAGACCAUUGAAGAAGGCUCGGAGAUUGAUGUCCACAAAUGAAUAUAUCAAAGAUUUAUAUGAGCAGAUGGUAUUUUAUUUUUUAAAUCAUCUGAUGCACAGCACUGAGCAUGGAGCUUAGUUUGCUUUCCUAUAAGCAAGGAUGAAAAUGUGUUUAACAAAUAUAUCCGAAAUAUCGGAAAAAUACUAGUGGAUAUUUGGUCAAAUAUCCACUAUCUCUUCUUUUAUAAUGGAAUUGACACAAGGUUUAAUAGUUUAUUCCCACUAUUUUCUUCAAUUUAUUCUCCUAUUAACUUCUUUUAUAACAUGUUAUCAGCAUGAGCAUUUGAAGACUUCUGUUUUUGUACUCAUCUUAUUCAAGUAAUUCUUACAUUCGAAUAGAAGUCUUCUUCCACUUAUUUGAUUCAAGUAAAAUAGAGAAGCACAAGGCAGUACCAAAGUGUGAAACCUCAUCUAUUUUUAAAGACUUAUAUGAUAAGGUAAGUCAUAAUAUAACUUUUAUAAUAGACAUAUUUUUUAGGUAGAGAAAAUACUAUUUUUUUAAAUAAACUCUUUUAUCCCGCUUUCUAUCAAAAUGAGUAAUUAGUUAUCAAAUUCUCUUAGAAUUGAUCAAUAGGAUUUUUAGGCAAUAAUUAUUUAUUUAUUAAACCAAAUUAAACAUAUUUAUGAUACCCAAAUAAAAGUGACUCAUAACUAAUAGGAUUUUUAGACAAUAAUUAUUUAUUUAUUAAACCAAAUUAGAUGUAUUUAUAAUAUCCAAAUAAAAGUGACAUGUGAGCCACUUUAUGAUUGAAAUUAUUUUUUCAGAAGUUCAAAAUUUAUUAUUUAAACUGAAAUGAUCUUUUCAAUAGAUAACUUUUUAUUUGAUUUCAUUAAAUUGUCGUAGAUUUGAAAAUAUUUUUUGAACAAUCGCUUCUAAAUUCUUUUUUUUAGAAAUCCCUUCAUCUUGGCUCCAUGAUCAGUCCAAUGAAAUGAAAAAACAUCAUUUUUUUCCUCACUUGUGUACUUUUACUUUUUCUCUCUUCUUUAGUAUUCAUUUCCAAUCUCUUCCAUAAGUAAUAAAGGAAAAAAAUGCAAAACUUGUUGGUGCACGGUUAACAAUUUGCAAUUCAGCUAGCUUCCUCCGAGUGAAUGGCGAAUGCACUUGCAACAAGGAGUGUUCAGAUGGUUUUUUCAUGCACAUCCCUUUGAAGUUUAAGUUAAUCUAGGGAAGAUAUGGGUAGAAAUUUGCUAGGAACUUGUUUCAUACUUGGAUUCUGAUUUAUGAUGGCUAUUUAUCUUAGCCAAGUCACAACAUUUGCCAUACGCCUUAAUUAUCUUUAAUGCCAAUUAGCUUGUGCAUAACGGUUUUUGUGCUUUUAGAUCAUACAUUUAUUCUUAUGAAUAACCUUAAUGUAACGAUUACGACAUUAAGAGCUUUAGUAUUUAAUGUCCGUCAGGUAGCAAUAUCUGUUGCUCGAAUAGUAUUUCGUCGUCCAAAUUCAUAAAUGGGAAAAAGACUCAUGCUAGAUGGAAGCAAGGAGCCCACAAUGCCCCUAAAUUUUUGUAGUCUAAUCCGGCUAGGUUGUAGACAGUAGGAGCAAAGAAUUUUAUGUGUCGUUUUCAAGAAAAGUUUCAAAUUUUUGGUGCCAAGAGGACACAUGUCCGUCGUACACGUAUAGUUUGAGGGGUCACAUCAUUGCGGCGAUUGGCAAGCAGCAUGGCUUUUCAGUUGCCUCGAUACACGCAUCCCUUUAACUUAUUUAAAGACACCUUUUUAGGUUUUGGAUCUUGCAUUUUGAUGGGCUUUUUACUUUUCUUGUGUACAUUGCCACUAUGCAACCUCAUCGUUGUUGGGGUAUUGUCAUUGUGCUUUUGAUAUUGACUCUGGCAUUCAUCUUCCAUGUUGGUGCUUCCUUUUAUCACUCUGAUUAUUUUACCAUGUUUCACGUUUUUCCUAUUCUUGCCUUUGUGAUUUCUUGUUUUUCAUGCACUUUAGGGCUAUGAUGUUUGGUUUGAGGUUUUUGGUUACCUUUCUCCUUUUUUUUAAAAAAAAAAAAUUGUUUUGGAAUGCAAUCAUGUUGAAAAUGUUAUUUGAGUGGAGUUCUAGAGUUCAAAUUGUUAGGUAAUAAGUUUCUUGGGAUGGUUCAGUUCAUUUGGACUAGUAUGUGUCUGAGAAGUCAAAAUCCUCUUAGCAAUGUAGGAUGAUUGGUUAGUGUUUGUCGCGUCUAGUCAUUCAACUUAUUAGUUUGCACUGCUCCCACACAAGUGUCUAAUCGACCUUCGUCUCAUCUAUUUGCAUGGAUAGAAGAGGUGUUGCUUCUAUGAGUGAUAGGUCUCAACAAAGUAGGACGAAGGUUUCUCGAUUCAACCACUCUAGAAUGGAUUGCCUUGUGGAUGAGUUGUUUGAACAUGAGUUUUGAGCUCGUUCUCAUAUUCUCGAUUCUGUCGAUAUCUAGCUAUCAGAUGAAAAAACUUUGUCGACAAAUGAGCUUCCUCACAAUAUGAUUUACUUCACCAAGGAGCACUUUGUAGCAGAGCUAUGUUUUCCUGUUCUAUCAUUACUCAAAUAGUUUUUACAUUAUUCGGUAAUUCCACUCAUCUACAUUGACCCGAAUGUCAUCCAAAUCCUCAUAGGUUGCAAUGUCUUGGAUGUGUAACACCAACUAGAACUCUUCAUUUUAGAGAUUCUAUUCGUCUAUACCAUUAAGAUGAGCCCUAGAGAACAAUUCAACCUGUCAACUCAUAUUUCUUCGCUACAAUUUGUGAUUGGCCUACCUAACUCCAGCAAAUGAUGGGCAAAAGCGCAUGUCUUGGUGUCUGGCCCUUGGAGUGGUUCAACUAAUGGGUUAGAUCGUUUAUUCAAGUCGAACCACUCACUUGACUUACCAAGUAUAGUUAUUUGUUCAUAGCUCGUUUGUUUUUUGUUAUGAGUGAAGUUUCAAGUGCAAUAAUAAUUUUAAUUUCUCCGUGUAAAUAAAGAAAGGCGAGGUCACUUAGUUGAGUAGGUGGAGAAAUCAUCUUGGGCCUACUUAAUAAGUUGUAUGAGAUUAACUUGGUCGAAAGGAAGUUCUCUAUGCUGCUAAUAGAAAAUAAUUUCAAAAGUUAAUUGGAGAACCCUAGUUCAUUUGUGAUUUUGGUAUUUCCCCAACUUGCUCUUCUUAUUCUUGUUCUCGGUGAGUAUUUUGUGUUAAAAGACUUAACAUUUUAUGAAGUUGUUUGUUUCACUGAUACAGAGGCACGAAAGGCUCGUUUGGACACCAAGAUUGUCCUUACUACUGGUUCACACUCUACUACUCCAACUGUUAAGAAAUUUGACGUCGACUCCAUUCCAUGGGAGAUCCUGUGGUAAUUUCGAGCAAUUCCACUCCGAUUCCAUCACAACACCUUGUUGUUGUUAGUGAUAUGCCUAGUAGGGAAGAGUUAGAUGAUUUGCUGAGAUGUUUUCCCACUUUUACAAACAUAAAGUCUUAUAUGAGCUCGGAUCCCUCAUGGCACUCCAAAUAGUGUCAUUGAAGCAAUCAUUACCAUGUGAGGAUAUUCUACCUUGCAAAUGGAAAAAGUAAUAUUGGAUUUUUAUUUUUUAUUUUGAAGUUUUAUGACCCUUCUUAAUUUGUGUGACACAUUCAAAUUGAAGCUUGGUCCACAAUUUGAUGUGGCAAUGUGACCAUCUCUUCUAGAGAUUGGAAGCAGCUAAGAAGAUUAGAUCUUAUAUGACAUUCUUGGCAAACAAACAGCAAAAGCUGCACAAAGAGCUUGAUAUUGCCUGGGUUGUAGCUGCUAAGGCUUGGAAAGAGACUAAGGAAGAGGUUGGCUUGCUUAGGGAUUCGAAGUUGACAAAUGAGGCACUUUUAGGCAAAGAUACAAAGCUUAAAGCUAGACAAUGCAUCUUUAGGAUCUGUCAAGGCCAAAGUCAAAGAGGAGAGUACUCGGCUAAAGCUCGAGCUCGAGCAAGUUCAAGUUGAUUUCUUUAAAGAAAUGAAGGAUGUUAAGGCAAUGGACCACAAACAAGAAGACGAUAUGUUUUUCUAUGGGUACAACUAUUGUAUGAGGAAACAUGAGAUUAUUGAUGAUAUUUCCAGUAUUUCAUCUAAUGAUAAGGUCGAGCCAAAUGAAGAAGUUCCAGUUCUAGACGACCGAGACACUUAAGAUAAAGAUGUUGAGGCCCAAUCAAGCAAUGUGGUUGAAUAGGUCGUCUUUCAACUUUGUUAAUUUCGACCCAAUAGGCUUUUUUUAUAAUACGACUAUCUUGGUUAACUAGGCUUAACUUCGUUUUUGUCAUAUGAUGUUACACUUUGGCUGUUAUAACCAAAUUAUGCAUGUUUUUCUUGAUAAUUCAUACUUUUAUGUUUUUUCAAAGGCUUUUUUGCCAUUCAAUUUGCCUUUACUUUAGGGACUUAGGUUGUUUCUGCAUGAUUUUGAGGCUUAUGCCAUUUGGGUUUUGAUGUGCCUUGGAGGCUUACGUGGUUUAACUUUGCCUUAUGUUGAAUUUUGGUUUGCUUGCCAUUUUUGGGCCUAAGUCAUUUGGCUUUGCUUUCUUUGGAUUUUGGCUUGUUUGCCACGUUUGGGCUUAAGCCAUUUAGCUUUGCUUUCUUUGUAUUUUGGCUUGUCUGCCACUUUUGGGUUUAAGCCGUUUGGUUUUACUUUCUUUAUCUUAGUUUACCUUUGUUGGCUUUGCCUUUCUAAAUAAGUGACCGGUAUUCAAUGCAUUUGAUGAUAUUUAUACUUUAUUGAUAAUAUUUCUUGAAAUUUUCAAAACUUUAUGAUCAUGGCAGUGGUAUUUCGUUCAUAGUCUACAUAUGAUAUAUCUUGGAAUCCUCUGCCUUGGUUGUAACAAAUGGUUCUUCCUAGUUAGCCUGGAGCUUAUUGACUCUAAUUUAUAUUAUAUUUUUGAAGACUCGUCUCAUCACUAGGUCUCCUAAGUGGAAUGUUCAUUAUGGUGUUUUCUUGUUAUACUAAGCAAUGACCAUCUGUUGAUAAGAAGCUAUUCGAAUUGCAGCCAUUUCUUUCUCUUCAUUUGCCCAAUUUAAAUGUUUUUCCAAAUCAUUGUUGUUGUUUCCUAUCUCUCGUACUGUUGUUUUAGUAGCGGGCAUCCUAAUUUUCGUUAGGAUAAUGGCUACCAUUCCAUACGUUAGGGCGAACAACGUGGGUCCUGUGGGUUUUAGACUAGUAGUUCGAUAAGCCCAUAAUUCGUCUAGGAGUUCAUCCACCCAUUUUCUUGAGUGAAUUCAAUAGAGUCUUGUUUGUUGCUUUGCCUGUCCAUAACUCUGUCCGUAGCUCUGGGAUAUCUAAGAGUUGAAUAAAGAUUUUUUAUUUUCAAUUUUUGAACAAAUGGUUCGGAAAACUUGACAAUUAAAUUACAGUUCAUUGUCAACAACAAUUGAUUGAGGGAUUCUGAUUAGCAUACGAUGUUUUUCCAGAUGAACUUAACAAUGUCCUUGUCCUUGAUGGUGGCAUAAGCUUCUGCUUCCACCCAUUUGUUGAAAUAAUUAGUUGCCACCAGCAACUGUUUUUUCUAUGUUGCUCCGAUUGGGAGAAGACUGACUAUGUCAAUGCCCCACAUUGCACAAAUGACCAAGGGCUAAUAACCAGAUUGAGACAUUCAAAUGGUAGUCUAAGUAUAGGGGUGUGCCUUUAGCAUUGGUCACCUUUUUAACAUAACUUUCUGCAUUAUUUUUCAUAGUGGGCCAAUUGUAUCCUUUGGAAUAUGCUUGAUAUGUUAGCGUAUGUCCUCCAAAGUGAUUGUUUCUUCGAAUUGUUUAGGUACCUAAGGUAAGGUCCUCUAAAGGAUCAUCUAUAUAAUUGCCCAUUGAUUAAAGAAUACUGUGUGGUUUGCACCCAUAUCUUGUGAGUUUCUUUUCCAUCAUUAGAGACUUCUCAUAUUUUAAGGUAUUUUGCAAUUGCUUUCAUCCAUCCUAGGUCUAUUUAGUGAUGUCAUUUACUUGUCCACAGGAGAUGGAAAGAGUAGAGAUUGGCAACAAGGUGGUUUCCCAUAUGGGAACAACAAUUGUAGUCCCAACUAGAGCAUCAACUCGCCUAUUUUCCUCUUAAGAUAUUCAUUUGAUUUCCAUUCUUCUAACUUUUUUGUCCAAGUGGCCAUUAAGGCGAGAUAGCGAGCCAUGUGUUCGUCCUUUGCCUCAUAUUCUUUAUGGAUCUGUCUGACCAUCAAUUUUGAAUCGCUUUUGAUUUCUAUUUUUGCAAUUGUUAGAGCGAUUGCUAGGUCAAGUCCGACUAUGAUCACCUUGUAUUUUGCCUUAUUAUUGGAUACUAGGAAAUCGAGUCAUACAACUUGCUCAAUUUGCUCUCCCAUGGGAGAUUGUAAUAUGAUUCCUACUCUGACCCCUGAUAUUCUUAAUGAUCCCUCUACGUGGAAGAUCCAUCAUUGCUUAUUGUUCUCAAACAUUAUUCAUCUUUGGGGUAACUCAGCUAUGAAGUUGGCUAGAACUUGCCAUUUGAGGGAAUGUUAGGUUUUAUACCAUAUGUUGUACUCACUUAAUUCAACUGCCUCUUUCACCAUUCGCUCAGAUAGAUCUAGAUUAUGUAAAGUGGUUCGUAAUGACAAGUUCGUUAAUAUUGUCACCUAGCGAGCAUGGAAGUAUGGUCAGAGCUUUUUGGCAGCACUCUUAGUGCAAGGGUAGUUUGCUCUACUUAGGAAUACCUUAUUUUAACAUCUACCAAGGCUUUGCUCACAUAAUAAAUGGGUCUUUGCUCAUUGCUCAUUGCACUAGUCCUGUCAAAAUAAGGCGAUGCUAACAAGAAAAAAUUUUGAUAUGGCAAGAUACAUGAAUAGCUCUUCUCUAGCUACAAGACUACUAAGGAUCGAUGGCUUUGAAAGGUACUAUUUAAUGUUAUUGAAAGCAUAUUCACAUUCAUCUGUUUAGUUGGAGACUCUUGCUCCUUGGAGAAUGCUAAAAAAUAGACGAAGCCAAUCUAUGAAGCAUGAUAUAAACCGUUUUAAGGAAGCUAGCUGACUAGUGAGGCAUUGCACUUAUUUCUUAUUUGUUGGAAGAUGAGAUUCUAGAAUUGCUUUGACUUAGGCAGGACUUGCUUUUAUGUCCCUUUGGGUUACCAUGAAUUCAAGGAACUUGCCUGUAUUUACCCCGAAUACACUUUUUAGUGGAUUCAUAUUCAUUCCAAAUUUUCACAACAUGUAGGCCCUCAAUUUUGUCCCUUUAACACAUGUCUUUAAGUUCGUUUUCAAUGCUCCACAGUAGUUCCUUGGUGGCCCAGUACUACUCACCACUUAUCUUUUCUGAGUCACCUCGGAGAUUUUGGUUAAGGGAUUAUCCGCCCCUUUAUUGUGACCCUUGGUAGUUUUGAUUUAGACUUAAGCUUUCCAUUCCUUUUUAGGAUAGUUCUUAAGCAUGUUUAGGUCACUUAGACAAUAUCCCGAUCACUUUAGGACACUUAGUUCAUUAGGCACCCUAAGCCUAUUUAGAUACACUUGGCCCACUUAGGCUCACUUAGGCCCACUUAGAUCACCUUUUAAAUUUUUAUUUAUUUAUUUAUUUAUUUAUUUUUAUUUUUAUUUUGUUUUUUGUAUGGCUUGCAUGACUUGCAUGGCUCGUUUAUUUUAAAGUUGCAUGACUUGACUUUUUAUUAUUUUAUUUUUAUUUAUUAUAUUUAUUAUCUUGUCUAUUUCUUCACCUAUUUUAUUUCCUUAUUAUUUUGUCACUUUUUCCAUAAUAAUUGCCCUUACUUAUCUAUUUUAAUUUAAGAAUUUUAUUUAAAUGUUUAUUUUUAUUUUACAACUAUUAUUAUUAUUAUUACUUUUACUCAUUUUUUAUCAUCAUUAUUAUUAUUAUUUUAUUUAAUCUAUUAACUUUGAAAUUUUGUAGGAAAAAUAUGGAAGGUGUGCACAAUCACAUUGAGAUUGAAUAUUUGGAGGAUUUCCUUGGAUGCACGGUGGGAUGGAUACAUUGAAAGGUAGGCGUGAACGUUUUGGGAAGAGUCCUCAUUAAGGGAAGUGAGAUCAUGGCUUCAAAUAGGAAUCCGAGCUACAUAUAGAAAGAGGAGAUCACGGCUGAAUGGAGGGUGGGAAAAAGAGAUUUAUAUUGUUGAAAAUAAAAAGGAAGGAAGUGGCCACUUUGUGCACAGCUGUAAGAGAGACUUCUUUAUUAUUUUUAAGAAAGAAAAGUCAACAUGCUUGAUGACUUACCAAAGAGGACACGACUGCAUCUUGGGGAAGUCUCCAAUGUGAGCCACAUGCAUGCACUUUCUAUAUCCAUGUGCAUUAAAAAAAAAAGGAAAGAGGAUAUUCCAUAUAAAAAAAAAGUGGGCUGUCAUAUAAGGGAGGAGAACGGAGGAACGUGAGGGAGCUUUUAGAAAAGGAGGAUUUUUUUUAGAGAACACGCAAGAGAGAAUUUUCGGAGCAAAGGGUCGUGAUAUUCUUUUUGAAAGAGAGAGGAAACAGAGAAAUCCACACAGAAAGGGGAGCCACCUUAACGCAUCAAAGGCAUAUUUUUUUUUUGAUAAUACAGGUGAGUUUUUUUGAAAUAGUUUUGAUUAUUUUUUGUUCGUAAUUCAUAGGUCCAUGCUAAUUUUGUUUGAAUCCAUAUGAUAGUUAAAAUGUGUUAGUGAGUUUAAUUUAAUUAGUUUUGUUUUAAUUCACUCCUUAGUUUAGUUUUGUUAUUGAUUUUGAUUUCUUAGUUUAAUUAAUUAAUCUUUUUUUAGGUACAAUUUAGGUUUCGAUUUGAUUUAUUAAUUUAUUCUAUUCAUAAUUUUAAUUCAAUGGUCUGAUUAAACCUUUAGAAAGAUUGCAUAUUGUUUUUCGAUUUCGAUUAUCUUGAUUUGAUCCCUAUUUAAUUGUGAUUGAUUGCUUCAGAUUGAAAAUGUUUGGAUUUUAUUCAUUCAGUUAUUCAUAUAUUUGUCAUUCUUUUAAUUACUUGUUAUUCAUUCUAAUUCAUUGAUAAAAUUGAUUUUAUGUUUGAAAGUUUGCGUUUUUAGGUUGCUUUAAUUUAAUUUGAUUCAUUAUAGUUAGUUUAGAUAUUUUUUAUAGUUUAGUUCAUUUAAUAGAAUUGUUCCCAUGUUUGAAAGUUUCAAUUUUUUUUUUAGUUUGCUUUGAUUUAAUAAUUUGUAUUCAUUAUUUUAGGUGUUUUUAUGGUUUUAGUUUAUUAAUAAAAUUGAUCCCAUGUUUGGAAGUUCAUAUUUUUAGUAUUCUUUGAUUUAAUGUGAUUCAUUUUAAUUAGUUUAGAUACUUUUAUAAUUUUAGUUCAUUAAUAAAAUUGAUUCUAUAUUAAAAGUUCAUGUCUUUAGUUUACUUUUGAUUUAGUUUAAUUCAUCUAUUUAGUUCAAAUACAUUUAUAGUUCUAAUUCAUUGAUAAAAAUUGAUUCUAUGUUUGAAAGUUUGCGUUUUUAGGUUGCUUUAAUUUAAUAUUUGAUUCAUUAUAUUUAGUUUAGAUAUUUGUUAUAGUUUAGUUCAUUAAUGAAAUUGAUCCCGUGUUUGAAAGUUUCAGUUUUUUUUUUUAGUUUGCUUUGAUUUAAUAAUUUGUAUUCAUUAUUUUAGGUGUUUUUAUGGUUUUAGUUUAUUGAUAAAAUUGAUCCCAUGUUUGGAAGUUCAUAUUUUUAGUAUUCUUUGAUUUAAUGUGAUUCAUUUUAAUUAGUUUAGAUACUUUUAUAAUUUUAGUUCAUUAAUAAAAAUUGAUUCUAUAUUAAAAGUUCAUGUUUUUAGUUUACUCUGAUUUAGUUUGAUUCAUAUAUUUAGUUCAAAUACAUUUAUAGUUCUAAUUCAUUGAUAAAAUUGAUUUUAUGUUUGAAAGUUUGCGUUUUUAGGUUGCUUUAAUUUAAUUUGAUUCAUUAUAGUUAGUUUAGAUAUUUUUUAUAGUUUAGUUCAUUUAAUAGAAUUGUUCCCAUGUUUGAAAGUUUCAGUUUUUUUUUAGUUUGCUUUGAUUUAAUAAUUUGUAUUCAUUAUUUUAGGUGUUUUUAUGGUUUUAGUUUAUUAAUAAAAUUGAUCCCAUGUUUGGAAGUUCAUAUUUUUAGUAUUCUUUGAUUUAAUGUGAUUCAUUUUAAUUAAUUUAGAUACUUUUAUAAUUUUAGUUCAUUAAUAAAAUUGAUUCUAUAUUAAAAGUUCAUGUCUUUAGUUUACUUUUGAUUUAGUUUAAUUCAUCUAUUUAGUUCAAAUACAUUUAUAGUUCUAAUUCAUUGAUAAAAAUUGAUUCUAUGUUUGAAAGUUUGCGUUUUUAGGUUGCUUUAAUUUAAUAUUUGAUUCAUUAUAUUUAGUUUAGAUAUUUUUUAUAGUUUAGUUCAUUUAAUAGAAUUGUUCCCAUGUUUGAAAGUUUCAGUUUUUAGUUCGCUUUGAUUUAAUAAUUUAUAUUCAUUAUUUUUAGGUGUUUUUAUAGUUUUAAUUCAUUAGUAAAAUUGAUCCCAUGUUUGAAAGUUCAUAUUUUUAAUAUUCUUUGAUUUAAUUUCGUUCGUUUUAAUUAGUUUAUGUGUUUUUAUAGUUUUAUUAGCUUAUUGAUAAAAUUGACCCUUUAUUUGAAAGUUUGCGUUUUUAGGAUGUUUUAAUUUAAUUUGAUUCAUUAUAUUUAGUUUAGAUAUUUGUUAUAGUUUUAAUUCGUUAGUAAAAUUGAUCCCAUGUUUGAAAGUUCAUAUUUUUAGUAUUCUUUGAUUUAAUUUCGUUCAUUUUAAUUAGUUUAUGUGUUUUUAUAGUUUUACUAGCUUAUUGAUAAAAUUGAUCCUUUAUUUGAAAGUUUGCGUUUUUAGGAUGUUUUAAUUUAAUUUGAUUCAUUAUAUUUAGUUUAGAUAUUUGUUAUAGUUUAGUUCAUUAAUGAAAUUGAUCCCAUGUUUGAAAGUUUCAGUUUUUAGUUUGCUUUGAUUUAAUAAUUUAUAUUCAUUAUUUUUAGGUGUUUUUAUAGUUUUAAUUCAUUAGUAAAAUUGAUCCCAUGUUUGAAAGUUCAUAUUUUUAGUAUUCUUUGAUUUAAUUUCGUUCAUUUUAAUUAGUUUAUGUGUUUUUUUAUAGUUUUAUUAGCUUAUUGAUAAAAUUGAUUCUUUAUUUAAAAGUUCAUGUUUUUAGUGUACUUUGAUUUAAUUUAAUUCAUCUAUUUAGUUUAGACACUCUCACAAUUUUUGGUUCAUCAAUAAAAUUAAUUUCAUGCUUGAAAGUAUAUAUUUUUAGUUUGCCUUGGUUCAUUAGUAGAAUUAAUUCUAUGUUUGAAAGUUCAUGUUUUUAGUUUAAUUUAGUCAAACUCGUUAUAAUUAGUUUAGGUACUUCUAUAAUUUUAGUUCCUUACCCGAAUUGAUCCCUUUUUAGUUUUUAUUUCAAAAUCAUUAAUGUUAGUUCCCGAUCACCCUUAUCUUAGCUUAUAUGCUUUUAAAAUCCUAACGGUUAGUUUAUGAAUUGAUACUUUGUUAGUUUGUCUAAUUUAGAAUGUCUUGCCUGUUAGUGAUCCUUCAUUUAAUUUGACUUUCUUUCUGAGGCCAUUGGAAAAUCAUGAAGAUUGGCCUCUACCAUCACCAUUAUCAUUUUUUUUAAUUACUAAAAAAAUAUUUUACUUUGAGGUUUCAUUUUUGUUUUGUUCGGUAUUUUAUUUCUUAUAUUUUAUUUUUUCCCAAAUUAAUCCCUAUUAUUUUAAAAUAAAAUACUUUUCUCAAAAAUCAUUUUAAAAAAAUUUAUUUCAAAAACUCAUUAGAGUCCUCAGGAUCAAAAUCUCCUUUUUUUUUUUUAUUUAUUUAUUUAAAAAUAAUAUGCAACCAUAUCUUGUUCGGUUCACAUCCUUCUCGGUUUUCAACAAAAAUUUUGGUUUUGAACAAAAACACGAAUCAAAGCUUGUGGUCCCAAAUAAAUGGGAUAAUUCUAGGCUAAAUUCGUGUAUAUUAAUUUGGGGAAUUGGUGAAACCCCUACAUAAGAAAAUCUUUUCAAAAAUUAUUUUUGUUGCCAUUUUUGUCACUUGUUGAAAUCACGUCUAUCUAUUUUUUAAGAAUAAUAUACAAGAUGUAUGUGAUAAUUGAUGAUUCUGUAUACUAUGAUCACUUUUGCUAUGCUAAUUAGAUAACGAGCAUGCUAGGAUUUCUAUAUUUUAUUAUUUAUUACCUAACCCCUUACAACUUGAGGAAGCACGUUACAAAUUAUCUAUGCUAUCCAGGUAUGUCCUCUAUCACCUACUUUCUGAAUUCUGUGAAUAUGACUGUCAUUGUGAAAUAAUGCUUAUGUCUAAUAAUGCUUGAGUGUUCUAAUAUACAUGUUUCAUUGUUUGAUCAUUUCUAAUAAAACACAUGUUGGAUGAUAUAUUGUUUAAAUUAACCAUCGAUGUUUUAUGAUAGUGCUUGAGAAACGGUCCAGGUACGCAUCCUAACCUUCCUUUAUUAUGAUUUGAUUUUGUUUGGCAUGCUAGUUUUUUUUGAACCAUCUAGCCUACUUAGGUAUCCAUAAUUAACUGAUUAAUUGUCACAUUCCCCUUAACUUAGUUAGUAGAGACCUUUAUAGGGCUUAGAGGGGUGCUACCUUUUAAAGGUACCUUCCCAAUAGGUAACCUGAUCCCCGGACUUAGACUUGGGUUUUUCAAAGACAUGCUUUUUCCAAAAAUUAUGGAGUCACAUUUUAGGGUUUUUCUUUCUUGUUUUAUUUUCCCUUUAAAAUAAAAAUAAAAUAAGUGGCGACUCCAACUUUUUCCAAAAAUUAAUUUUUUACAAAUAAAAAGCGAGUCUCGCCGAUCGAGUGGGGACGCACGUGAAAAAUGCGGGUCCACAAACAAUUCAAAAGUUUCUUCCAAAUAGUGAAAAUGAUCGAGACAAGUUUCACUAUUGAUCAAGAUAUCGUUGAUGUAGACUUCCAUUGUUCUACCUAUCAAAGGGUUGAAAAUUUUAGUCAUCAACCAUUGGUACGUGACCCCUGCAUUUUUUUUAAUCUAAACAACAUGACUUAUAGUGGUACAAUCCUUACGAGGUAACGAAAGCUAUUUUCUUUACUUCAGGUGGAAACAUAGGUAUUGUGUGGUACCUAAAGAAGGCAUCAAGGAAAAAUAACAUCCCAUAUUUUACUACAGCGUUUACUAUUUAAUCUAUGCAGAGCAAUGGAAAACUGUCUUUUAGACAGACAUCAUUUAGAUUUGUGUAGUCGAUGCAUACUCUCCAUUUUACGCCAUUCUUUUGUACCAACACUACAUUGGCCAACUAGUUCGAAUAGAAGACUUCUCUUAUAAAUCCAGCUUUUAAUAAAUUAUCCACUUCAACUUGCAUGAUUUUUUUUCAAUUAGAGUGGAAGUGUUGAACUCUUUGUUGCAUCAGUCUUGCAAAAAAAAUGAUAUUCAAUUUGUGGGACGCUAUGGUCGGGUUUAUCCCAGGCAGGUUAGAGUGCUUCCAUGUGAACACGUCUUUAUUCCUUCCUAACACUUUCCACAAACAAUCACAUUCAUAUUCGAUUAGCAUAAUACUAACAUAAGUCACAUGCUCUUUAUCUUCUAAUAAGGCCAAUUGUUCGAAUGGAUUUGCUGCCAAAAGGUCUCUAUCCUUCACUAUUUUUUGCAUUUGGCUCUAUAAUUGUUUUUUAGUUUUUUUCGCAAAUGACUCAUGUUCUUUUUCAUGUUGGACACUUUAUUUGGCUUCUAUUGUGAAUUGGUAACAUUUCUGGGUAGCUAGUUAACUCCCAUGCAAAUCCACUUGGCUUAUCUCUAUUAGGUAGUUGAUCAUCUAAUGAUAAGUAGACGGAAUGACUUUCAUCUUGUUCAACCAUGAUUGUCCCAAUAUGGCAUUAUAUGGUGACAAAUCUUCCACAACAAAGAACCUUACAUUAAGUGGGAGCACAACAUCUCUUAGAGAUAUGGUAAUGGUUUCAUUAAAUCAGAAUAGCACACAACCUGGAUUCUCUAGGGCAACUGGUGAAUAUCGCAUUUGAUUAUAAGCUGACAUUUGCAGCAAGUCAACAAAGUGGCCCGAAUUGAUUAAAGUUUUAUACACAUUAAAAUCGUCAAGUCCAAGUGUCAUUACCAAUGUGUCCUCGUCGACCACUAUAACCCGAUGAGGAUUAACUUGAGGAAAGGUGAUGGGUUUGUCAAUGGGUUAAACACUCUUUAUAGUAAAGGUGCAUUGGACUGUGUUUACUCAUUCUUUUAUAGUUUUCAUCUUAAUCAUUCUCCUCAUUUUCCAUCUAGAGUCUAUAGCUCACCGACCCCCUAUGAAUAUAGUUUAUCAUCGCUGACUAUGUCAUAGGAGAAACAAGAACUCUUUUGGUGUUUCUCAAGCAGUGUCUUAAUGUAUUUUAGCUAUUUGAAUGUUUUGUUUUAGAUGUUCAAAUUUUAUCAACUUUUUCACUAAGUAGUGCAGACACUCUUCUGUAGUGUGUUCGUGCUCCUUGUGCUAAGAGCAUCACUGCCUCUGAUCUCUUCUAGUCAGGUCGGCUUUGAUGGGCUCUGGUCAUUUGAAUUUAGGUAAUUCUUAGAUGAGUGGCAGAAUUUUUUCACAGGAGACUGUCAAUGGGGUGAAUGGAGAUGAUUGUUGUCGUUGUUGCCCCUGUUGAGAAUAUUUUCGUUUACCUUAUCUUAACCGAUUGUCUAGUGGCUUAGAGCUUUAUGUUUUACUACUAUUUUUUUUGGUUUGGCUUGUAACAAGAAUCCAUUAAAAGGCUGCUUGAACAUCAUUCUCAAGCGUAGCAUAUUUAUCUACUAUUUGAAAUAGAUCGUCCAUAGUAAUUGGUUGCUUCUUAGCGAGGGACUUGAAGGAAGGUGUACUCGGACUUAUACUUUUUUUGAAAAUCAAGCGUCCAUACUAUAUGAUUCUACCUACAAUACCACUUGGCCAAAUUACUUCAUAAAAUCUCUUAAUGAUUUGUUUUCUAGCAUUUUAAUGUUUUGCAAGAUGUUGAUAUUCUGCUUCUGCUAGGCGGAACGUAGAUAAUGAGCCACAAAGGCCUUUGCUUUAUCCUUAAAGAAGUUAAUCAAUUUUCGAGGAAGGUGGUGAAACCAUUAAAGAGCUAAACCAUGAAGAUUGACUGGAAAUACCUUGCAUACUAGGAAGGCAUUGCCUAUGUCCAAUGUCAUUGUUUGUUGGAAGUGCAUCAAGAAGUUGAAGGGGUCACUCGAUUCAUCAUACAUAAUGCACUUUGGUACAACAAAUCCCCUAGGAGAAUCGUAGCUUAUGAUGUGAGAACCAAAUGGCAUGGAAAGCAUGUCAUCCAAUCGUCUACCUAUUGAACCAAGACAAGCUUUCAACAAACGACCCUUAGGUUGUAACUCUGGCAUUGUGCGUUGGGGAAUACGACUUGGUGACACUUCUUCUUAAGGUUGCCUUAGAUGAACUAUUAGGGCCUCCAAUACUCGUGGUUCCCAUUCAAAACUUCUCGUAUGUUUUUGUUGCAUAGACAUAGUGGCUUCAUCCAUUCAACUUUUCUCAAUCGCGCACAUUUGCUUGGAAUUACCUAGUUGGGCAAAGUAAGGACACCACUAGUGGAUAAUACGUCAUGCACUUAUAGUGAGGAUUUAUAAUCAGAUGGAGGAGCUCUCAUUGUACGACUUCAAGUAGGUCUCGAAGUCGUCCAACUAGGCAUGCGGUGGCUCAUUUGCUCAUGUGGGACCCAGAAGACAUUUGUGCCUAUAAUUUUUUGUUUUCCUAUUUCAAUUGUUUUGUGUAUUGUUGUAGGGCUUGCAUACACCUCUCGUACUCUUCAUGCUUUUUUUCCAUUUCAGUUUGCCAUGCGUGGAAUCGGUCAUCCACGUCCACCAAUGGGGAUGGGCUCCAAGAGGUACGUUGGCCAUGUGUUCUUUUAGCUUUUGGUUCACUUUCCACGUACGGUGCCAAUGGUUGGUGCACAAUCAACAAUUUGUAAUCCAGCCAGCCUCCUCUGAGUGAAUGGGAAAUGUACCUACAAUAAGGAGUGUCCAAAUGGUUUUUUCGGGCACAUCAUUCGAAGCUUUAAGUUAAUAUAGGGAAAAGACAAGCAGAAAUUUACUAGAAACUUGUUGCUUACCUAGAUUCUAAUGUUUGAUGACUAUUUAUCUUAGCCAAGUCACAAUGUUUCCCAUAUGCCUUAAUUGGCUUGUGCAUAACGGUUUUCAUGCUUUAAGAUCAAACAUUUAUGCUCAUGAAUAGUCUUGAUGUAAUGUUUACGACAUUUAAAGCUUUAGUAUUUAAUGUCCGCCAUGUAGCAAUAAGUGAUGCCCGGAUAGUAUUUUUUUUCUGUCCAGAUUCAUAGACGAGAAAAGAGCCCAUGCCAUACGAAAGAAAGAAGCCCAUAGAACCAACAUUGAAAGGCUUACGAAACAGUUUGCAUGGGAAAUUAGGGUAAAGAUUUUUAUUUUUAUUUUUCCAAAUGUGACUUUGAAUUAUCUUAUCAUGAACUCAAAAAUGAAAAAAAAAUGACUUUUUUAUAUUUAAUUUAUAAUAAAAAUAUUUAAAAAAUUAAUCACAAUUAAUAUUAGUUAAAAAUGCAUACUUUUUUAUUUAUUUAAUCUUUAUAUAAAAGUUAAACAAAUUAAGUGAAAUUAUUUUGAAAAAAUAUAUAAAAACAAUUUAUGAACUUCGAAUGCAUUUUUUUUUCUUUUAUUUUUUUCUUUAUUUUCUUUUUCUCGUAAUUCCCUCAAAUUUUUUGAAAAGCAAACAAAAGUGUAAUAUUUAGGUUAUUAUAUUUAUUUUUUUCAUAAACUAACUUAAUAUUCUAUGGUCAAAUGAAACUAAUUCAUGCAUGGUAGUUGUAAUCUACUCUUUAAUUUUUGAGUUACCAACAAGCUUAAUUAGUUCUAGGUUUUUUCUAUAACACCUAUUUAUGGACUCAUCAUCUAAAUGAUGUAACAUAUUUAUUGAAUGUUAAGGCAUAAAAAUUAACUUCUAAGAUAAUUUUUUGUAUCUUAGUUGAAUUUUAAGGUGGUUGUAAUCUUAAUUUUCUUCCUUGAAUUUUCCUCUCUACUACUAUUAUUAACUUUGUGAGUCGACCAAUCAAUUGAUCUUGCUUUUUCCUAUAGACCACCUACAAGAAAAAGGAUAUGUUGAAUAUGGGGAUUUCAAUAGAUCCCCUUUGACAAUCAAGUCAAUAUGAGAGACAACGGAAAAGAAAAAAAUAAGAGAAGAAGAAGAAUAGUAUGAAGAUUUGCCUUUGUAUUGGUAUUAAGCUACUUGUACAUAUACUUCAGGAUAAUCUAUUUAAUUGUUACUAUAUAGAUGUAUCUCUUGAUAGGAUGAAUAUCGUUCAUAGAUAUCUUUGGAGAUUUCACACACCAGUUUUAUGUCAUUUCUACGUGAUUUCAUGUUAUACACGUUACCAUUAAUCAAAUGAUCCAUUAUGAUGACAGAUGAAAUACAAUAUAAAAUUGUUUCAACAUUGUCCUUCACUCAUACAAUAAUUAGGUCCAAGGAUGAUGGAAAGAUGACAAAUUCACUCCUUAAUCAUAUAUGAACAUAUGUUUUGUUUCUUUGUUUAAAUUAGAGAAGAUAGAAUUUGUUCUCUUCAAAUUUUUUUAAAACUUUUCUUAUUGAAAAUAUUUCAAAAUAUAAAUAGGUUACGUAGUGUAGUUGCUUAUUUCAUGGAGUUUUGGGCCAAAAUGGGCUUCUCCCCAAACUUAAUAUUAAAAGUAGGCUUCAUCCAAAACAAUUGUUCAAAGUAGUCCUCAUAUGUCCACAUAAACAUAGAGACCAUUUUUUUAUGUUAUUUUUGUUUACUUUCUCAUUUGCUUCCCAUCCUAUGAUUGCUCUGUCCAGUUUUUCUCUUCAAACCCUAGCCCUACCAGUGGGCCACUAUGAGAGAAACAUUGUUGGAGCUACAAAGCAUCAAGGUUGAAGUUGGUCAUAAUCUUCCUUUUGGCUUGUUUUAUGUAAAGUUUUUGGCACUUUCUCAUCUUCUUCCCCUUCUCAUAAUCUCAGUUUUCAGAAAUAUAGAGGGAUCUACCAUUGAAUCGAAACAGGGCACUUAGGUUUCUCCAAAACCUUUCCUAGAGAUGUAAUUGAAUCUAUGCAUAUCCAAAUCAAUCUCAAAAUAAUUUUCCCCCUAUAAGAGUUUCCAGAAAAAUUCUAUAAAGCACAUAUACAUAUUUCUAUAUGCACUAGUGUUGUUUAAUCUCAUGUGAAAUUCAAAUGCAAUGAUUUGUUUUUUAGAAAAUGGUAUAAAUUAUAUUAAUGAUGUUUGAAAAGUUGGACUGAAAUUUACCAAGUAAAACUCAUGUUGCGGACAUGAUAAAACAGGUUUUUCGUUGUAGUCAUUCAUUAGCUUCCUUUCAGCUGCACUUAAAUGAAGAUCCUUCAUAUUUACUAGUCGGCCCGGUAUCUUUAGUCUUUCCCUAAAUGGUGCAAUUAUAUCGAGAUCAAAACCUCUUACCAUCUCUACUUCAUCAUCAAUUAACCUCUGUGAUGGAAAGAAACAAGGAUACAAACUAAUUAAUAAACUGUGCCCAAUAAAUAGACCUUUAAGCCUUUCUAAAAUAAAGACUAGCUUCUCAGGAACCAUCCACAUGAGUAAAUUAUUCAUUUUAAGCAUUUUUCUUGUAUUAAAAACUAUGCUUUUCAAACUCACAGCAAUGAUCAAAAGUAGAAAGCUACAAAUGAGUCCUUCUUACUCUGAUAUUUUCUUGGAAAUGAAGUGGAAGUUAUUUUAAGAAACUUUCAAAUAGCUUGAAGUACAACAUCAAACUCAUUCAUUCUCUGUCAUUUUCACUUUGGAAAAUUGUAGUAGUAUAUAAUGGUACCUAUAAAAGGAAAUUUACAUCUUUAAAAAUAUUUCCAAACAACUCCUCUACUCAUGCAAAAUAAUGGAGAAAACAAAUUCUUAAAUGUUCAUCUUAGAGAAUAUAUUAGGACCAUAAAACAAAUGGUUAACAAUUAUUUCACUAGUUUCUAACAUAUUCCCACAAGUAAUGGACAUCAUUUGGUAAACCCCAAAAUGUUAAAUAUAGUACACAAGAUCAAACAUUUAAUUUUUUUAUUUAAAUUAAAUAAAUGAAAAGCAAUUUUAUUACUAGUUCUUCUUCCCCAUACAUUUAAUUUAAUUUAAUUUGUUCCAAUGGGUUUGUAUUUUUGUUAGAGUUCCAAAACUUGAUUGCUUGAAGUCCAUCUCUUGGUAUCUUCAUUUGCCAAAAAGGCAUCACGUUCAGCAGGAUCAAGUGUCAUCAUUUGUUCAAGCAUUUAAUUUUUUUAUUUAAAUUAAAGCAAUUUUAUUACUAGUUCUUCUUCCCCAAGCAUUUAAUUUAUUAAUUUGUUCCACUAAGUUUGCAUUUUUGUUAGAGGACCAGACAAUAGACAUAGUAGUAAGCUCAACAAUUUCUCAGCAUCCAAACAAGAGUAUUACCAUUAGAUAGUUUUCUAAAGAUAUUUUAUAAAAUUUUAUAUUGUAUAUAAGUACGUAGUAAUUUUAUGAAGAAUAAGCUAAGCAAAUUGUAUUUCAUAUUUAAAUUCUCAAACAUAAUUUUGUUCUUAAAAACAAUUAAAAACAAUUUUUAAGAAUUAUAGAAUAGAUUUAGUUUACUUGUCUUUUUAGAUGUGAUAUAUGUUAUUGGAACUCGGGGAACUUCCUUAGUAGCCUUUCAUUAUUUUUUUUCGAUGUGGUUGUAUAAAUUGUCAAUGGAGAAACCAUUAGGUAGAAGCUAGUAUUUAGGGAAUGAUGGAAAAAUUCUUAUCCAUUUCGAAUAUGCUACCACCCAAGACAAGAGUCCUGAUGCCCAUAUUGAUGUUUAGUAUUAUGACCAAUGCUACAAUUUAUUGCCAUUAUUUAGGCCAUCUAGGACAUACUCAUGAUUUUUUAUUUAAAAAUCAAUAAAAAAAAAAUUGAACCUAAACCCUAUACUAUUUUCUUUUAUUUUUUGAAUAUAAAAUGACAUGUGAAUUCACUACCAUGAGUUCCUUAUCUCUAUGAGUUCUUCAUUAUCAAAUAUUUAUUGAAAUUAUGAUAUUAAUUCAUAAUAUCAUCCUACUCUUUACUCAUACACUUAUUUACUUAUAAAUUGCUUUCAUUUGAGUUGAACUUGGUAUUUAGACAUGAAGUUUUUUUCCAUUUCAAUAUUUAUUUGGUUUAUUCUUGUAUUUUAUGAAUCAUUGAUCGUAAAGUAUUAUUUUUUACUUGAAUAAAUAUUAUUUUUUAUGUAAUAACCAUUUGACAUUAUCUAUAUAAAGGCAAUUAUGAUUGAUUCCAUAGUAGAAGUGUUAUGUUAUUGGAAUGGAAUAAUUUUGAGGACAUAAAUGGAUUUGAGAUAUAUUGGAAAUAAUGUAAAGAUUGAGCCUAUAGACGUGCUCAUUCAUACGACCUUUGUGGAGUUACUGAACAUGAUAUAUGAUAUCAUUGGUGUUGAAAGACACAAUCAGUUAGUCUUGAAAUGUCAACAUCCAACUGAAAUGAACAAAUUUCAAUCGUUAGUGGUUACAAAUGAUCGAAUAGUUGCACGUAUGCUAGCGGUGCCAUCGAAGUAUGAAAUAUCUUCAAUUCAAUUAUUCAUAGGGCAAACUUUCAAUCACUAUCAUUUGAGUAAUGAAAUGGAUCAUUUGAUAUAGUUAUCGACAAGUGAUAUUGAUGUUGAUGAGAAAAAUGAGAUGUAUGAGUAAGAUCAUAGAGGUAAUGCAAUCGAUAUAGAUUAGAUUCAUUUACCUAAUGAUGAUGAAAAUUGUGGUCAAAGAGAAAAUAUUGAUUUUGUGAUGGUCCAAGAAGUUGUGGAAUGUGAAAGCACAAUAUAUGUGAACCUUGAAGUUAGUGAUAGGUCCAAUGAUCCUGAGGUUGAGUUUGAGGUUCGAAACACAUCACCAAUUGCCUCCCUACAUGGCACCCAAAUUAAUAUAUCUAAUAAGAACCUAGAGGCAACAUUUGCACCCGUUUCAUACCAUAUUCCACCAACACCACAAUUUUUAAAUAUGGACAAGACAAUUAAUUGUGUUGUAAGAGAUUGGACUCCGUGGAAAAAUCCAACUUUAGGAAAUGUUGAUAGGGAGUUAUCAAUUGGCCAAAUAUUUCCCUCAAAAUCAUAUUUGCAAUAUGUUGUGAAGAUGUUUUCCAUAAAGUUGCACUAAGAGUUUACAGUUUAUAAAUCAAAUACAAGUAUAUUAGUUCUUAAAUGUAAAAAAGCAUCUGAGUGUUAAUGGUGACUAAGGGCAAUGGCGGUGAAAGAUACAAGUAUGUUUAGAAUCACAAAGUACAAAGGUCCUCAUACAUGUGUCAAUCCAUGCAUUAAUCAAGAUCAUUCACAGUUGGAUUCUAGCUUUGUAUUCAAGUAUAUUGAAACAUUGGUGAAGGUAGAAAUGAUCAUUACAGCUACUGCAAUUCAAGCUGUUGUUGCGGAACAAUUUGGUUACCAAAUUUCUUAUCAAAAAGCAAUGAAGGCAAAAAAAAAAAGCAAUAACUCGAUUAUUUGGUGAUUGACACAAGUCUUAUGUAGAGUUGUCUUGCUUCUUCCUUGCUUUGGAGCAGUUAAAUCCUAGAUGUAUUGUGUAUUCCAAAAUGGUUACUAGAAACGACCUAAAUGAAGAAAUUUUCAGCGUGUUUUUUGAGCAUUCACUUCAUCUAUUAAAGGGUUUACUCAUUGUUGACCAAUUUUCUUAGUAUUAACGGGACACAUUUGUAUGGAAAAUAUAAAAGGACUUUGUUGAUUGCUAUGGGAUGUGAUGGUAAUAACCAAUUGUUUCCACUUGCAUUUAUCAUUAUAGAAUAAGAUAAUAAAGAUAGUUAGAGUUGGUUUUUGGCAUGUAUCAAAAUUGGGGUAACAUAAAGGAAAGACUUGUGUUUGAUCUCUAACCGUCAUCCUAGCAUUAUAGCUUUUGUAAAUGAGAUAUAUUCAAAAUAGACUGAGCCAAAUGCUUAAUAUAGAUUUUGCAUGUGUCAUUUAGCGAGUAACUUCAACACAAGGUUCAAAGAUAAGACGUUAAAAGAUCUCAUAUGUAGGGUUGCUAUGAAGAGUAAAGUUAAAAAAUUUAUUUCUCACAUGGAUACAAUUAGCUGGAUAAAUGUUGAGGCUAGAAAUUGGUUGGAGCAUAUUCCUCUUGAAAAAUGGACACUCUCACAUGAUGGUGGGCGGAGAUAUCGAAUUAUGACAACUAACAUGUCUGAAGUUUUUAAUGGUAUCCUUAAGGGUGCUCAUAACUUACCAAUAACAGUUUUAGUCCAAUUAACUUUCUAUCAAGUUAACAAUUAAUUCAUAGUCAAGCGAGAGCAUGGUGUCAGUCAACUCACUUCGAGUGAAGAAUUCACUUCAUAUAUUGACGCUAAGAUAAAGGUUAAAGUUGUUAAGGCAAGUUCACAUGAGGUUGUUUUGUAUGAUCAUAUGGAGGGGCGUUUUCAUGUUAAAACUAGAUGCUCUGUUGGAAAUAGUAAGAGGAAACCUCGCACAUUUCAUGUUAAUCUUUGAAAGGGUCUUGCACAUGUAACAAAACACUUUUGUUAGGAUUUCCAUGUUCGCACAUUUUUGCUGCUUGUCAUUGUCGGUUAAUUGAUUUUCAACAAUUUGUACAACGUUAUUACACCACACGUGCUUACCUAUCAACAUGGGCUCCCUUGUUUUAUCCCAUAUUUUAUAAGUUUGAGUGGCCUCAAUAUAAUGGACCAAUAAUUGUACCUUCGAACUCAAUGAAGCAUGUAACUUCUGAUCGACCAAAAUCAAGUUGUUUGCAUAAUGAGAUGGAUGCAAGGGAAACUAGAACUCCACAAACAUGUAGACUUUGCAAGCAAUCGAGUCAUAAUCGUCAAUCUUUUCCUAAUAGAGAAACCAAUGAUAAGAGCAAUUGAUGUACUUUAUGAACAUCUUAUUGUACUAUUAUUUUCUUAUUUAUUAAUAUUAACCUUAAUUGUUUUAAAAUAUAUGUAGAAAGUAUCUUAUUGAACAUUUUUUUUACGUUUGUUUGUUAGAAAUUGUUGUUUAUUGUUAAUUAAUUCAUAUUUUGCUUAUAUCAGGUUACUUGAAAAAAAUCUUAAUCGCUACUAUUUAAGGGAGAUGUUGCUCAAAUUUUUAAAAUUUUAAUCAUAAAAUUCAUGGGUAAGAAAUUGUUGUUUCUUGUCAAUUCAUUCAUAUUUUGCUUAUAUUAGGUUAUUUGGAAAAAUUUUGAAUCUCUACUGUUUAGGGGAGUUGCUGCUCAAAUUUAUAAAAUUUUAAUCAUAAAAUUUAUGUUGUUAGAAAUUGUUGUUUCUUGUCAAUUCAUUUAUAUUUUGCUAAUAUCAUGUAUUUGAUGUACAUGCAUACAUGGACACUCGGUCGUUUCUUGUUCAUUCUGACCCUGAUGAUACAUCUUUGCUUACUCUUUAGCAUCGACAUCAAUCAUCCACCAUUCGUGUUGAUCCAAAUAUGGGUCAUGUUUUGACUUGUUGACAUAGGUUCAUUGAGAGUGGGUUUUGGAUUAUUGUGUUUGGUCAUACAUUAUACAAUCAGGAUUUUAUGUUUUUCAUUGAGUGGGACAUGCUAAGGUUGACUAGCCUUUUAUUACUGCACUAAAAGUGUGGUGACGCCUAGAGAAACACACAUUCCGCAUGCCAGUUGGUAAGAUGACCAUCACAUUACAGGACGUAGCCAUUUUAUUAAUUUGGAUUUAUGUGUACAUGGUCAUCUUAUCACCGGUACUGCAGAUAUCGAUUGGAAUGCACUUUGUGAAGAGUUAUUGGGUGUUCGACUAACAGAGACUGAUAUUUGUGGAGCAUCCCUUAGAGUUCAUUUUAUUAUCACUCAUUUCUCUCACUUACCACCAGAGGUUUUAGAUGAGGUCACAUUACAGUGCCAUGCUGGAGCAUAUAUUUUAUUGUUAGUUGGUGGUUCAUUAUUUCGAUAUAAGAAGGGAACCUACCUCAAAUUAGCAAUUCUACCCAUGUUAAGAGAUUUUGAUGAGACUACACAAUAUAGUUAGGGAAGUGCAACACUAGCACAUCUUUAUAAAGAGUUAUGUCGAGCUAGCUUAAAUAGUAUAGAAACUAUUGCAGGACCAUUACAAUUGUUGCAGGUAUAAUUACAAGUCUUAUUAGUUAUGUAAUUUUGUCAUAAUUAUGUGCAUUUAAACAUAAUCUUGUUUCAUUUUUAGUUAUGGUCAUGGGAGCGAUUACACGUGGGUCGUCCUACUAAAUCACUUCCCCAUGCACUAGUGCCUAUAGAUGAGAUACUCCCGCCAGAUGCACUAAGGAGUAGGUAGAGAGUUCCCUUAUCUCAUACAGACACUCCUCAUCAUGUGUUGGUCACAUACAGACAACUAUGUGAUACUUGUAUUCUUUAACAAGAUUAUUAAUAUUAAUAUUAUAAUUUAAACUUUAUUAAAUACAUACUAAGAUUUGAAUAUGUCAGGUAUUAUGGUAGCCUUACACAGAUGAUACACUAGCAUUACUUCCAGACAUUUAUUUAGUUGAUCAGGAUAUUUGGUAGACGAUGUCACCACUUAUAUUUUUUUAUAUUGUUAAGUGGCAUCGUCCUAAGCGUGUCUUGUGACAAUUUGGACUCAUACAGGGUAUUCCUCCAACAUCCUAUAUAGAUUCUGACCUUCACUUCAUAGAUCGACGCGGUCGAGCUCAAUUUGAUUAGAGGUUGUAUCAUGAGCGCAAUGUGGCAUUAUGGAAGGCUAGGGGGACCACAUUAUUUCUAUGAAGCCUAUAGAGCCUCAUAUGGACUACCAUGCUUCGUACCUGACAUUGUAUCGUCGUAUUACACAUCACUUUAUUACACCUAUGGAUGAUUUUGGACUUAUGUAGUACCAAGCUACUGUCUUAUUUACCUACUUAUUGAUUUGUAUCUCUUUAAUAUUAUGUACAUAUUGUGUAUAGUAUUUAUUCCAACAAAUAAUUACAUAUCAUUUUAUGUGAUAGAUUGAGAUUGACAUUAAUCAUAUCUCGAGAAGGUCAUGCAUUGAAGGACUCUAAUACUGAUGUUUGUCACACUAGUAUUGUUGAUAUUAUUUGUAUGGUCACUGAUGUUAUGUGCAUUAUUCUGGGGGAUUAUCGUAUCCCACAUGUCUCUAUAGAGGAGGCAGGUCACUAGCUCAGUCGACAGUUGUUCGACUCCCACUUGUUCGAGGUCGAUCAACAUUUCGAGGUGGAGGUGAAUAUAUUAGUCGUCAGCCCAUCACCUCGUCAAUGUCAGCAUCAUUACAGCCCCCUCAUUUUUUAUCCCCACAAUUAGUAUAGUCACCCAUCUCUUUAGACUUACCAUAAGUGCAGCCCUCUACCUCUUCAAACCUACCAUCAAUGUAGCCCCCUACCUAUUCAAACCCACCAUAGUACAACCCCCUAUUUCUUUAGACCUACCUUCAAUUUAGCCUCCUAUCUCUUCAAACCCACCAUCAGUACAACCCUCUACCUCUUCAAACCCACCAUCAGUAUAGCCCCUUACCUCUUUAGACCUACCUCCAUUAUAACCCCCUACCUCUUCAGACCCACCAUCAGUGCAACCCCCUACCUAUUUAGACCUACUAUCAGUACAACCACUUACCUCUUCAAACCCACUUUCAGUGCCUACUACCUCAUAUGUUAAUCCUCUUUCAUUGCACCUAGAUGUUUCCUUAGCUACUUCACUAGGACCUAAGUUUAGGACAUCAAUUCUACCAUCACUAGAGUCAUUUAUAUUUGUCACUAUGCCUAUACAGACUAACACAUCUACUCAAUUAGAUUUACCCCCAGCCAUUUUGAGGGAUAGGCAGGACCUACGUCAACCUAGAUUGCUACUUCCACCACCACCUCUAUUUCCAACUCCAACUCCAUCACAGACAAAUGUUCUUCAUGUGUCACAUGCAGUACCUACUACAGUUAGAGAAGAGUAACCAAAAAGAAAGAGAGUACCAAUUACACAUAGAUUCUCUACUUGUGGAGACAUGUGAAAUUAUAUAUGUUUUUUUUCAUUAUAUAAAUGUUUACAGGGUAUUUUUUGUGACUUUGAUGAAAUUACUAAAAAUUACAUUUUGUAGCUAAUUAAUUUCAUUAACUAAUUUUGUCAUAAAAUCUAUAUAUGGCAACUACGACUUGAGGGUAUACUAUUAUUUCGAUAAAGAUAAAUUUGUCAUAAAACAAAUAAAUUAAUAUCUUAAAAAACAAAUUAAAUAUCUUAAAUUAAUAAGUUGUACAAUUUUAUAUGUUAUUUAUAUGUUGUAUAAAUUUAUUAUUUUAAGAUUAUUAAUUUAUUAAUAAAUAAAAUAUUCAUUUAUAAUCUCUUCUGUUUAUUAAUUUAUAUUUGUUGAAGUAAUACUAGAUUAUUAAGUUUAAAUAUAAAUAAUUUAUUAUUAAAGUAUAUAUUUUUAAUUUUAAUAAUAAAUUGUAAUUUAAUAGUUUUAAUUAAAUUUUAAAUUUAAAAAAAAUUAACUAAAACCUCAAUUGACAAUUGAAGCUUUAAUUCAAAAAUGAAGUCUUAGUUGCCAAUUGAGGUUUCAGUUAAAAAAUGAAGCUUCAAUUGGCAACUGCGAGUUCAGUUCAUAAAUGAAACCUCAAUUGCCAAUUGAGGCUUUAAUUCAAAAAUAAAGUCUCAGUUGACAACUACGACUUCAAUUAAAAAAUGAAGUUUCAGUUACCAAUUGAGACUUUAGUUCAAAAAUUAAGUCUUAAUUGGCAACUGUGGCUUUAGUUAAAAAACUAAAGUCUUCUUUUGGCAAAUGCGACUUUAGUUCAAAAUGAAGCCACAGUUACCAAUUGAGGCUUUAACUAAAAUUAUAAAAUAUAUAUAUAUAUAUAUAUAUAACAUGGCUCCUACAUGGCAUUAAAGAUGUCAAUUUGAAUAUAAAUUUCAUAAAGUGAUUAGAUCUUAUAUUUAUGUAUAUAUAUAUAUAUAUAUGGGACAUUUUGACCCAAAACUCUAUUUCAUGGUAUUUCUCACAUGUGAAAACAAGACUUGGUGGCUUGAUUACCACUUAUUACAUUCAAUGAUUAAUAAGCUAAGUUUCAUCACACUUUUCUACCCUAAGGCAUGAGUGUCAAAAGCAUUGUUUUAAAAACCAGACUGGACCGUCAACCGGUGAACUUUUCGGUUUGGUCCAUCUCAAUGAACCGUUUUGUGGUCAAACCGACAUUGAACCGUUCAAACUGACGGUUGAACUGCUGAACUGACUAGACCUUAAUUGCUCCAAAUAUUUGUUUACUAUUAAAAGGCUCAUUAUCCAUCAGGCCCAUUCCACACCCAAUACUUUUAAAACUAAAACUAAUUAUAAGCCCAUAUUUGGUCCAAGCCACUAAGCCUAAUCCAAUGACAAUAAAUGCUUAUAAAACUUAUAUUUGGGUCAUGUGUCCAGGCCCAAUUUGCUGGCAAGUUUGGCUUGCAAGGGAUGUUGCAAGGUAUUUAUAAAGCACAUAAAAUUCAUGUGCUUCCGACGUGGGACUAGGACUUAUUAGAAGUAAAACAUUGCUUCUUGGAGGGCUGGACACACGGAUCUCUUAAAUAUUAAAGUUUGAAGUCUUUGAACCAUUGAGCAUUGCACCAUAUUUAUUAAAUGAUGUUGUUAAAAAAUAUAUAUAAUAAGAAUAUAAGAUUAAUGUUUUUAUUUCAAAUUUUUAUCAUAUAAAAAUCUUUAAAGAAAUGUAAAUAUUUAAAUUCCUGUUUAUUUUUAUAAUAAUAUGAUAAUAAUUAUAAAAAAUAAUAUAAAUUAAUUAAUAUAAUAAUUUUAAAACAAUAAAAUACAAAGACAAAAAAAUAAAAUUAAAUAUUAUAAAUUUUUUCAUCUUAAAUAUAUCUUCAUUCUUAAAUAUUACGUAUUUCUAUUUAAUAAAAUUUAAAAUAAUAAAUUUUGUCAUUUAAUUUAAUAUACCAAAUAUAAAAAUCAAACAUUAUUAAAAUUUGUAAUUUUAUAUAUUUUUAACUUUUUAUAAUUAUUUUUAAUUUUAUAUAAUAUAUAAAUUAUAUAUUUAUUAUAUCACCGAUUCAACCACAGUUCGACCGUCGAUUCAAACAAUGAAUCGGUUCAAUAAUGAAAACAUUAGUCAAAAGGAUAAAGGGCAAAUGUCAAAUUAAUGCAUCAAAGCAAGUUCAAUCAACUUUCAUUUUAAUGGACUCUCAAAAUAAUUCACAAACUCCUCUUUUUGUCUUGACCCCUCACCAACUCCAUUGUCUUUGACCCAUUUCUCACCACCCUUCCAUAUCACCAUGUCAUUGGCCUUGUCCCACCCCAAUAGAAAAUGGAAAUUGAUUGGAGCAAGGAAAAUCUAUCAACUAGGUCAAAAUUAGUUAACUAACAAAUUAUUAAUUUAUUAAUAAAUUUCUUGUUUUUCCAAAAUUUUGUAUCUUUGUUGACUUGUGGCAAAGUAGAAGUGGAAAUACUAUUUUCUUUUUAUACGUUAGGAAAAGUUAAAAAGGAAAUUCAAAUCAACAUGUGAACAUACAUAUUACGAAGACCUCCUAAAAAGAUUGUAUGGAUUUAAUUAAAUAUUAAUAUAUGUAAUAAAUCACGCAUGUUGGUCCUAAAUUGAGACUAAUAAAAAAUAUUAUUUAAUUAAAGAUUAUUAAUUUAUGAAGGUUUUACUACACGUUUCAUUGAAAUAUCAUUUGACUAAAAAUGAUAUAUUGGCACAAUUCGAUAAUAUUGUUUUUUUUAAAAAUAGAAAAUAUUUAUAUAUUUUUCCUUGAGAUGUAUUAUUUUUCAAAAACAUAUAUAUAAAAAUUUAGCUAAAAUAUUUAUUCGAAUUUUGAUUGUAUUAUCAACACUUAAAAACUAAUCUUACAAUAAUUUUUCUUAACAAGGUAUAAUUUGAUUGGAUUAAAUUUAAUUUGCUUUGAGUCUAAUUUUAGAAUAAUUUAAUGAAAAAUAAUUUAAUUUAAUUAAAAUCGAGUUGAGGCCUUCAAUGCAAAACUAUUUAUUUGGCGGUGGAUAUCAACCAUAGCGCGUGGCGUACACGCGCCGGAAACUGGGUCUGGGCUAACCUUAUCUCUCCACCCAGCAGCCAAGGAUGACGGAUAGAGAAGCCUUUUGUCCCUCCCUUGUCUCUGUCUCUCUCUCGUUUAUAUCUCUAAAACUCCAAAUUCUCCCAAAUAAGAAGCCACCCACCAUAGAUCCUCCCGAACCCAGAAACAUAGCCAACAAACAUGGACAUAAGGGUUUUGAGUCUGCUGACGACUCUCUGUCUCCUCUCUCUCUCUCCACCGCCACCGCUCUCUCUCAAUCCUCCAACGUCUCCACAUGUCCUAUAGACCACUUGCAAGCAAAAGGAUGUGUUACGCGUCGGAUAUUUGGGAUUCAAGAGGUGCCCUUUAAAAAUAAAAGGGUAAUUAUUUAGCGACUUAACUUGAUUUUAAGUUUAUUUUUUAUUUUUAAUAUUAAAGUUGUUUGAUAAAUUUAAUUUAAAAUUUAUUUUAAAUCAUCAAAUUGAAAUAUUAAUCCUUCUUAAUUUUAAUUAAUAUUUAUCCCCAUGGAUUUCAACUUGUAUUUAUUUUUAUUAAGGUGGUGUUUGUUAUUUUUUACUUAAUUCUAAAUAAAAUUUGAAAUUAAAUAGUGUUUAAUCAUGUUAAGUAUUAGAUUAUUUAUUUUUUAAAUAUUUUAUUUCUAUUAAGUAUUGAGAAAAUAAAGGUUAAUCUUAAUAGGAAAAACACUCAAGAGGGGGGUGGAUUGAGUUUUUAAAAAUCUUUUUCAAAUAUAACAAAGAAAACACAAAUAUAAAAAGAUAAGGUUAGAGGAAGCAAACUCAGAUUUUAUAGUAGUUCGACACUCCUUACCUAUAUCCACUCUCUUCAAGCUCCUAAUCGAGUAAGGGUUCUAUUAUAAUUUGAAGUUUCAACCAAACUUCCAACACUUUUACAUUCAGAUUCCAACUCUAAUGGGCUCUUACACAAUCUCUUCAAGUCUCUUCUCACUUGAAACUUCUAACACUCAAAUAACAAAUUUAAAUCUCUCAACCUAGCUAAAAAAUAACUCAAAUGCUAUAAUGAAUAAUAAGGGUGCACUAAAGAAUAUGUAAAUAAAAGUUUAAUGCACCAAAGAAAGAAUGAAAACUUUUCAAGUAAGAACAAAUAGAUAAACAAAUAAAUGCAAGUGUUCUUAUACCAUAAAUGAAGUGAAGUUCUCAAUUUAUAGUUUUCUAGCAUCGAGAGCCAAAAUGCCAAAAAGUAACCUUGACCGGUCGAGUUGAGGGUCGACCGGUUGACUAGUUGUGGCAGGUGAUUGUUUGGCCUCAACCAACCCUUAAUCGAACCUUGAUCGAACCUCGACUGGGAAGACAUAACCCUCGAUCGAGAAUACAAGACUACUAGAAAAGAGAGAAGAUUUUUUUACAUUUCUCAACUGAACCUCAAUCGGGAAGAUAUAAUCAGUCAAUCGGUACCCUAAUAGGUUGAGUUGAUUGACCAGUGCCUCGACUAGUUCACAAUUUUUUGCCCAAAAUCCUAUCUUUUAAUAUUCUUUUCCCUUCUAACACUUAGGUAAGGUGUUUAGGUAAAUUAAUAUGUCAAGUUUAAAAUAAUUUGCCUAAGGUUCAUUUGACAAAACUUAGUUUUUAUUGGAAAUGUAACUUGAAUGCAUAUACCGAGUUUUUAAAGAUGCAUGAAAAGAUAUGAAAAACUUAAGUGCACUUAUGCAUUCAUCUUACAUAUGUUUCCUAUAAUUAAAGGUUUUUCAAUUGUCUUGAUCUUGCAUCCAUUGAGUCCUUUCAUAAAUUUCCAAACUAAAACAUGAAAUUCUUUUUAAAUUUAAAACGAUUAGUAACUUAAUCAUGAUUUGUUGUAAAUAAAACAUGAUUAGGAAAACUUUUGAGCUAACAAGUAUUAAAAAAAAACCAAUGUGUAAUUUUUUUCAUCUAGAAAAAAAAAAAUUUUGACUUUUUCUAUAUAAUAAAAAAUUUAUAAUAAGUCGUGAAAAAAAUAGAAAAACAAACAACUUAAAUGUGAAAGCAAAUUUCUUUUAAUAAAAAGUUAAAGAAACAAACAUCCUCUAAGUUUAAGUAAUUAAUUUAUUUGUAAAAACAUCUAUAUUUAAAAUAUUAUAAAUACCUAAAAUAACCAUAAAAUAUUUAUUAUAAAAAAUGAGUCAUGGAUAUGAAAUCAUAAUUUUGAAAUAUAUUUUCGCUAAUAUAGGCAAAUAAGGUAAAAAAAUUUUGAAAUUAAAAAUAAGUUAAUUAUUUUGACUUAAUAUUUAAAAAUAAAAAUAAUUUUAAUUUAUAAUAUUAAGUUAUUUAAUAAAUAUAUUUAAUCUAUUUAAUGAUUUAAAUUAAGUUACUAAAUCAUAUUAAGUCAUUAAAUUGAUUUAUCAAACACCCUCUUAAGUUAAAGUAAAAAAAAUGAUAAAUAAAAAUUAAAAAAAAAGUUAGAGAGGAUGAAGAAGGAUAGUACGUAUGAUUUGCCUUUGUAUUGGUAUGAUUUAUCACUCUAUGGAUUUAUCUUUUGGUAGGAUGAAUAUCAUUAACAAAUGUUCUCAUAUUUAUCUCAUCGGUACAUUGAUUAUUCUUUUCAAUUUUUUAUUUUUAAAAUUUAAAUUCAUUAAAAAUGAAUAUAAGUUAUAAAUAAAAAAAAUAUUAGAAAUACUUAUAAUUUAUUUUUAUAAAAAGUAAUAUUUUAUUUAUCUCUAAAAUGUUUUUUUAAAAAAUCAAUUAAUAUAAUUUUUUAUUUAAAAUUAUGUAUAAUUAUCAUACUCCAACUCAUUUCAAACUUGUCUCAAAUUUUUAAAAACUUCUGAAACCUUUUCUAAAUUUACUUAUCUUUAUCUCAAAUUCUUUCUAUUAACAAGGGGACAUUAUAAAUACAAAAUAAAUAAAUAAAUAAAAUAAAAAUCAACCCUAUCAUCACAAUUUUUCUAUCCCUUCCAUCAGCACCCAAGGCAUGAAUGUCAAAAGGAUAGGAAAGUACCACCUUUCAUUUUUCAUGGCAUGUGGUACGUGGAAAUACACGUAACUUUCAAAAUGACUCACUCGCUUCUUUCUUUUUAUUCUCAACUCCAUUAUCUUCGACCCAUUUCUCACCACCUUCCCACAAACCCCACAAUAUUAUUAAAUUUUUUUAUAACGUAUUAUCUUACAAAUUUAUCAAAUUAUUAAUUUAGGAUAUUGACCCGAAAUCGGAACUGACAUAAAAUAUUAUUUACUUGAAAAUUAUCAAUUUAUUAGGGUUCCACUAUCGUAUUGUUGAAGUAUCAUUUGAUUAGCAAUGAUAUAUGACGUAAAUUUUGUAAAACAUAAAAAAAAUAUUUAAUGCCUGUUUAUUUGAGAAAAUUUUAUCAAUACUAUAAUAUUACUCGUUGAAAAUAUAUAUCAUGUCAGUAAUAAUAGGUUUUAUCUAAGAUUGAAAAAUAUUUGUACACUAUAUAUUUUUUUCUUGAUUUUAUUCUAUAUUUAUGGUAUUAUUUGUUUAAAAAAUAUAUAAAUUUAUCAAAAAUAAUUAUUGGAAUUUUGGUCAAGUCUAAUCAAUAAUUAAAAACUAAUCUUACACUAUAUUUUCCUAACAAAGUAUAAUUUGAUUGGAUUAAAUUUAAUUUUCUUAGGGUAUAAUUUAUAUAUAUACAUAUAUAUAUAUAUGAUCUUAUAGAAAAAUAAUUUAAUAAUUUAUUUUAAUUAAAAUCGAGUUGAGGCCUGCAAUGCCAAACUAUCUAUCCGAGGGCCCACACCAACCCUAGCGCGUGGAGUGCACGCUCCAGAAUCUGGGACUGGACUAACCUUAGCUCUCCAGCCAGCAGCCGAGGAUGACAAAGAGGGAGGCGUUUUUGACUCCCUUCCCUUUGACUCCCUUCCCUUCGCUGUAGGUAUCAUAUCUAUCUCUGCAACUCCAAAUUUUCCCACAUCAGAAGCCACCCACCAUAAAUCCUCCCAAACCCAGAAACACAGCUAACAAACAUGGGCAACGGCAGCAACUUCAGCUGGGCUUUGAGCCUGCUGACGACUCUCUGUCUCCUCUCUGUCUCCGCCACCACCGCUCUCUCUCAAUCCUCCAACGCCUCCGCAUGUCCCAUGGACUUCAACUACGUUCUCAGAAUCUCAUGGAACUCCUCAAACUGCCACAACUUCGUCUCACAGGGCAACACCAGCGUCAACAGCAAAAGCUCAUGUUGCACAACUCUCCUCAGCCUCUUUGCAGUCUCACUCGCUCAACACCUCAAAGAGACCUCCCUCUUUAAUCUCCCGGACGUCUCCACCUCCCAAUCCUGUCUCCACGAUUUUCAAUCCAAGCUCACCUCUCUCCCCCUGGCCAACAACCUCGCCUCUUCUUGCUUUGAUCCUCAGCAGUUCGUGAUUGGACCUGACAUAUGUGCCGGUGUGCAGAACAUCUCCGACUGGGUGGCGAAACUCGGCCCCUCCACCGCCCUCGACAGCAGCUGCCGGGCGGAUCUGACCGACCUGACAGCAUGUGACGCCUGCGUGAACGCUGGGUUCGAGGUUCAAUCCAAGUUGAUUGAGAUUGAUGGCAACAAGUCUCAUUCUACGGAUUGCUUUUAUUUCACGGUUUUGUAUGCUGCUGGAAUUGUAAAUGAGGCUGGGCCUGAGAGUACUGGCGCAAUGUCGUGUGUACUCGCAGUACCUUUGAAUUCUGAUGAGGGGUCUAGUAGUAAGAGCCAUUCGGCUCUGAUUUUUGGGUUUACAGGGGCGGGUGUUGCUGUAUUGGUGAUGUCCUGCUUGUUGGGGCUGUACUUUUGGUGGGAGAGGAAGUGGGGGAAGAAGAGUAAGAGGAGUGGUUCAGGGUUUUUCGGAGUGGAUUUGGAGGAUUUGGGAGGGUCUAGGCCGCGGGUUAGGCCGAAUACUGGUUCAAUCUGGUUCAAAAUUCCGGACCUUGAGAGGGCAACCGACAAUUUUUCGCAGAAGAAUUUCAUUGGGCGAGGGGGGUUUGGUCUUGUUUACAAGGGGACUUUAGCAGAUGGGAGCACUGUUGCAGUCAAGAAGAUUAUAGAGUCCGAUAUUCAGGUUGAUGCAGAC